CCUACGGGUGGCAGCAGUGGGGAAUAUUGGGCAAUGGGCGCACGCCUGACCCAGCAACGCCGCGUGAAGGAAGAAUGCUUUCUGGUUGUAAACUUCUUUUGUCAGGGACGAAGCAAGUGACGGUACCUGACGAAUCAGCCACGGCUAACUACGUGCCAACAGCCGCGGUUAUACGGAGGGCGCAAGCGUUAUCCGGAUUUACUGGGUUGAAAGGGGGUGUUGGCGGGAAAGCAAGUUAGGUGGGAAAACCACGGGCUCAACCCAUGGCCUGCCUUUGAAACUGGUGUUCUUGAGUGCGGGAGAAGCAUGCGGAAUGCGGGGUGUAGCGGUGAAAUGCGUAGAUAUAAGGAAGAACACCAGUGGCGAAGGCAGAUUGCUGG
rnacentral:rRNA from 1 species